GACCCGGGAACGGGGGGCAGGACCGGGACCUCCCCCGGGGGUGGCGGAGCUGGGAUCCCGCCGCGGUUGUGCCCGUUGCGGGACAGCGUGGGGAGCGGCGGUGCCGGGGGGCGCGGCGGAGGAAGCGGCGGGUACCGGGAGAACAGGCUCUGCUGGAGCUCUGGAGCCCCAGGAGGGAUCACCAAAAGGCAACUGUCUGUGUCAGACUGUCGGUUCACAGGACACCGGACGAUAGUUCCAUCUGACUUCCUGGUGCUGCCCCGAGCUUCUCUCCUCUUUGCAACAACCCACUUACAAUAACGAUGGCGUCCUGAGCAGCUUCGUUGCGAAUAAAUGUCGCCUUCUCAAGCGCUUUUUCAAAGGUGAUGAUCGCAGACCAGUAAUUCUUCAAGUUUACUGUCACAGGCAAAUGAAAACAUCUAUGUUAACCCAAGAUCAAGAGAACAACACCAGUUAAGCAACUCUGCAAUAGGUCUUGAUCUGAGUGGUUACUUUAGCUGUUAAAUCUGAGGUGUUUUCACUAAGAUCUCAACAGACAGGCUGUAUCCAUCCCUAGAACAAAAUCGGUACUGAUGCCUUUACCUUGUGC